rnacentral:misc_RNA from 1 species
GUACCUUCAAGCUAUGCUUGGUGUUGGGUGUUUGUCCUCUCCCCUGCGUUUGGACUCGCCUUAAAGUCAUUGGCAGCCUGUAUAUUGGUUUUGAGCGCAGCACAUUUUGCGUCUUGCAUCUAGUAAUACUAGCAUCCAUGAAGCCCAUUAUCAC